UGAGCAUGAAUGGGCGGAGACAGAGGGCGGUACUUCCGGUGCCAUGCGACGCGCUGUCGCUGCCGCUGCCACCGCCUCCGCCGCCGACGCCGCCUCACAGCUCGCGGCAGUCACUUUGUGUCGCGCGGCGCAAGCGGGCCCGCAGGCCCCGAACGCCCAGCCCCACGGGUUCGAUCGGAUCCGCUUGGGGCGGGUGGUGUUGCCAGGAAAGAGAACCAGAAACUGUGUGUAACAGGGAUCCAGGGUGGCUGCCUCUGGAAGGCCAUUGAAGGGGAAAGAAUUCCAGGGAGGGAGAAUGGCACAUGCAAAAGUCCUAAGGUGGUGAGUAUGGGCCCCUUAUUCUAGAGCUUCUUUUUUUUUUCUGUCAGCCUAGCCUUGGGGUCAUGGGACAGUGGCUCCUCCAAGUGGUGGGCCAGGCAGGAGAUUCUGUGGUGUCUGGGCUCAGCUUAAAUUUGUAGCCUGAGGACUAAGUGAGGAAAGAUUUCUGGGUCUGAGUUGGGAGGCAGGUGAGAAAUCCUGCUGAAUGUUCUCUGUGCCCUCAGUGUUGGGCAUGAUUGCAUCCGUGGGCAACACGAGGCUCAUGCAUUUCUAUACUUCAGACAUGGUAGAAACAAGGAGGUAGACUUCUGAGAGAGGCCAGAAGCUUGGUGGCUCUCCUGGGCUGAGUUCUAUGGAUUGGAUCUUUAAUUUGGUGAUUUG
rnacentral:lncRNA from 1 species